UUUAGGACGGGCCUGCAAACACAUCAACAGUGGAAACCGCAGUGGCAGAAACAGUCCUAAUGGCCAAGAAUCCCGUGCUUGUAUGAAUUCCUGGUUCCUUUUGGAAAGCUUGUUGCUGAAAAUACCAGGCUUAUAGUCUACAGUACUUUGUAUUCUGUUCUGCUUCAGAGAUUCCAGCUUCUGUAGUAAAAGUAUAAAGGUCUCAUGAAAAGCUGUAUUAACUGUGGCAUAGAUGACCUGCAAGAGAAUCUGGGAAAGAAGUGAGCACACACAGCAUGCUGGGAAAAUCUGGAGCUCACGUAUUAUCUGUUUCCAAAUGACAUAUUCCGGAUUAUGAUGAUUCCUGAAAUGCUGUAACUAAACAUAUAAGAAGAAGAAAGGCAGUUUCAUGUGGCUAAUGAGAUCCUGGACCUGUGGUUGAAUCUUGAGGGACUUGCUGUGUAAAGAGAAGCCAGAAUUUUCUUGAACCAGGCUGAGAGUGACAGUUGAGCUCCUGGAGGACCAUGGAAAACCUAGCAGGCAACGUGAGGUCCAUUGGUAAGCUCCAUCUGUUGCUAAGUAUCUCAGCACUCAAGUAUCCGAGGAAAUGAGCUCAUAUUGGCACACAACACGGAGAUGCAGAAAAAAUGGAUUUAAAUACCUUUCCUUCCAGGAACGUACUUUCUAAUAGGCCAGCAAGCUGUCUGUCCUUAUUGGAGACUGAAAGGGUUUUUAAGACUAUGUGACGUUAAAUACAUACUGUUCUCCAAACAUAUGAUACACAAAAUAGCACAAAUUCUCCAUAUGAAAUAACAGAACAGAGUUAGCAAGUUAAACAGAUUGUUAAUGAAAUAAAGUCGG
rnacentral:lncRNA from 1 species